UACGUAGGGGGCAAGCGUUGUCCGGAUUUAUUGGGCGUAAAGAGCGUGUAGGCGCCAUACAGGUCCGUUGUGAAAACUCGAGGCUCAACCUCGAGACGUCGAUGGAAACCGUAUGGCUAGAGUCCGGAAGAGGAGAGUGGAAUUCCUGGUGUAGCGGUGAAAUGCGCAGAUAUCAGGAAGAACACCAAUGGCGAAGGCAGCUCUCUGGGACGGUACUGACGCUGAGACGCGAAAGCGUGGGGAGCAAACAGGAUUAGAACCUACCCGUCGAGUC
rnacentral:rRNA from 1 species